CCUUCCCUUCCCUCAGAUCCAUCCUGACAGGGCUGUCAGUUCUUGUCACCGCUCCAAGUUUCUGGAAGUCUCCAGUCUGCUUUCAAUGAGAUCACUGUCAAAGCUUAUCCCUUUUAGCCUCAAAGCACAGCUAAACUUGAGACUGUCAUUUCUAAUGGCUCUCCACAGGUUUGAGGCUAACGUAAGAGGAUUACAGUGUAGAAAGGAAAUCUUAAGGACGGUGCCAGCUAUUCCUGCUCCUGGCAUUACUCAAUCUGACCACCUACAGGCUCUCUCCAUGGUCCCAACAUGGCUGCCAUGUUGCUGGGGCCCACUCCUUCUUUGAGAACCCCCCCAAGCCUCUCCCCACCUUCGCCUCCCAUCCAUAGUGACAGGAUGAGGGAAUGCAUGCCUUCUUAUCAUCAUCACCAUCACCUGGCCAGAAAUGCACUUCACCUACAGGGAAAUAGCUUUCUCUCACAAUUGCUGAAUGCUGAGAGUCUUCGCUGGAAGCAGUUGUGCCAGCAAAAAUCUCAUCAGAUUGUUUAGCCCCUAAGAACAGAGGAAGAACCUACCCUUAAGACUGAGUUAGACCUCCAGAAACAGAGCCCCAUUUAACAAUACCUCAUUUGUCCCUGGCCCAGUGAAUUGAUGAGGCUGUGGGUUGUGCUCCAUACGUGUAGGAGAAGCGAAGGGCCUGGGAACCAGGCACUGGGAAGCUCGCAAUCCAUGCAGGAGGUUCCAAGGAGGCUCCCAGGGGCCAGGUCCCGAGGAUGAGUCACACCACCGAGCCAGACCCAGUAUAAGAGGCUUUAUUGACUACAGUGCAAACUAAGCAUGAAGAAGAAACAAUCACUUGAAAACACCAAAGACCCUUACAUAGCAAAAGUUAAGAAAUAAAUUAAGACUCCUGUGGGGCUACGCCUGGGAGGAAGGGCAGGCCUCAUUCACUUCGAUCCUUGGGUUCUCGGUAUUUCCACUGGAUGUAGUCAAAGAUGUCUUUCUCACUAGCCACUGGCAGGGGCUCUCCAGCAACCCCCGUGACUCCCAAGGGACGGAUUGUGUACUCGUUGAUCAUGAAGCCCUUUUCUAGCGCAUGAGCUCUCAUAUUAUUAUUGAAAAUAUAACUCCCGGUGAAAUAGAGAACACCACAGUAAUACUAGUCCUUGGGUAUUAAUCUGAUACCAAUUCUCCUGCGUGGAUACUCCUUUUCAUCAUUUUUACUGGGAAGCUGGCAAACACCCAUGAACUUAGUUUCACCUUUUGACAGUAUCUGUAAUAAAAUGGACCUUACUGCUCCACAACACUAUGCAACAGCUUUGGCUGUUUGGUUGAUUCAGAGGUAAAGCUUGGAUGGGUCAGAAGAACAUCCAUGUCGCCACUGGACGCUGCACCUCUUCUGAAACUGCCACAGACUGUAACAAUGUAUUCAGAAUCCACUUUUUUAACUUCAUUUAGUACAAUAUCUUGCAUUUGUAACAUCUCUUCACGAGGAAUUCUUUUCUCAAAGUCCUCAAAAUAUUUCAGCCCAAUUCGUUGAUGAUGGUUCAAUUUGUCUUCAUUUUUUCUUGAGAUCUUCUAAUGUUUUAAUUCCUUCGUCUACAAACUUCCUCGCAGCAGAUGGACCAAUGCCACUAACUCGAGUCAGGAAAUUGAUGGAUGAACUCAUAUCAUCCUGCCGAGUCUUUUCCAGUCGCUAAAAACUCAUCAAUCUUCUCAGCAAUUUUUGUUCCUACUCCAGGCAAUUUCUUAGCUUCCGCUCCACUCUUUAUUUUGUGUAUUUUGCUAUCACAGAUGCUGCUUUUUGUAAGUAUUGCACUUGCGGAUUGCCUGGUUCACAUUCUUCUCAAAGUUUGCGAGUUCUGUGAGCAUGUCGGUGAUUCCCUCGUUGAGAGUCUCCUGUGGCGCCUUCCGUUUGCUCCUGAUGGCCUGCGCCUGAGGGCCGCGGAGGGCUCAGAGCCAGGGACUGUCCCCCUCCAGCUUUAAGGUGGGGCCGGGACCCGAAGAGGGCGUAGCACCCACCCACCCGGGAAAGCCUGCGCGACGCGCGGAACAAUGGCUGCCUCUGACAGGAGGCGCGGCGCGCGGCACCUGGUGACAUAAUUUGUUAGAAUGUUAUCCUCACUACUAAAUUUCUAAAUCUCUUGGUAAAAUGUAUCUGUAUAACACCAUUUUUGUAAUUGUUAAUUUCUACUGUAUCUCUUUUAUAUCUGAUUUCUCAUUUAUAUGUUUUCUUCUGCGUGUUUCUAUUUUUCCCUUAAUUUAAUUUUUCUGAAAUAGUAAUUUUUUAUUUUCAAAUAAUUAA
ensembl:lncRNA